rnacentral:rRNA from 1 species
UACGUAGGGUGCAAGCGUUGUCCGGAAUUAUUGGGCGUAAAGAGCUCGUAGGCGGUCUGUUGCGUCGGCUGUGAAAACCCGGGGCUCAACUCCGGGCCUGCAGCCGAUACGGGCAGGCUAGAGUUCGGUACGGGGAGACUGGAAUUCCUGGUGUAGCGGUGAAAUGCGCAGAUAUCAGGAGGAACACCGGUGGCGAAGGCGGAUCUCUGGGCCGAUACUGACGCUGAGGAGCGAAAGCGUGGGGAGCGAACAGG